rnacentral:rRNA from 1 species
UACGGGGGGGGCAAGCGUUGUUCGGAAUUACUGGGCGUAAAGGGCUCGUAGGCGGCCAACUAAGUCAGACGUGAAAUCCCCAGGCUUAACCUGGGAACUGCGUCUGAUACUGGAUGGCUUGAAUUCGGGAGAGGGAUGCAGAAUUCCAGGUGUAGCGGUGAAAUGCGUAGAUAUCUGGAGGAAUACCGGUGGCGAAGGCGGCAUCCUGGACCGACAUUGACGCUGAGGUGCGAAAGCGUGGGGAGCAAACAGG